AGGUGCUGCAUGGCUGUCGUCAGCUCGUGUUGUGAAAUGUUGGGUUAAGUCCCGCAACGAGCGCAACCCUUAUCCUUUGUUGCCAGCGGUCCGGCCGGGAACUCAAAGGAGACUGCCAGUGAUAAACUGGAGGAAGGUGGGGAUGACGUCAAGUCAUCAUGGCCCUUACGACCAGGGCUACACACGUGCUACAAUGGCGCAUACAAAGAGAAGCGACCUCGCGAGAGCAAGCGGACCUCAUAAAGUGCGUCGUAGUCCGGAUUGGAGUCUGCAACUCGACUCCAUGAAGUCGGAAUCGCUAGUAAUCGUGGAUCAGAAUGCCACGGUGAAUACGUUCCCGGGCCUUGUACACACCGCCCGUCACACCAUGGGAGUGGGUUGCAAAAGAAGUAGGUAGCUUAACCUUCGGGAGGGCGCUUACCACUUUGUGAUUCAUGACUGGGGUGAAGUCGUAACAAGGUAACCGUAGGGGAACCUGCGGUUGGAUCACCUCCUUA
rnacentral:rRNA from 1 species